GUGGGGAAUAUUGGACAAUGGGGGGAACCCUGAUCCAGCCAUGCCGCGUGUGUGAAGAAGGCCUUUUGGUUGUAAAGCACUUUAAGCGAGGAGGAGGCUACCGAGAUUAAUACUCUUGGAUAGUGGACGUUACUCGCAGAAUAAGCACCGGCUAACUCUGUGCCAGCAGCCGCGGUAAUACAGAGGGUGCGAGCGUUAAUCGGAUUUACUGGGCGUAAAGCGUGCGUAGGCGGCUUUUUAAGUCGGAUGUGAAAUCCCCGAGCUUAACUUGGGAAUUGCAUUCGAUACUGGGAAGCUAGAGUAUGGGAGAGGAUGGUAGAAUUCCAGGUGUAGCGGUGAAAUGCGUAGAGAUCUGGAGGAAUACCGAUGGCGAAGGCAGCCAUCUGGCCUAAUACUGACGCUGAGGUACGAAAGCAUGGGGAGCAAACAGGAUUAGAUACCCGUGUAGUCC
rnacentral:rRNA from 1 species